rnacentral:tRNA from 1 species
CGGGGAGUGGCGUAGUUGGCUAACGCACGUGCUUUGGGAGCACGAGAUCGCGGGUUCGAGUCCCGCCUCCCCGACCA